rnacentral:tmRNA from 1 species
GGGGGCGCAUUGGCUUCGACGUGGAUAAAGAAGCCAAAGUUGCAGGUCGAGGUGCCGCUGGCCUCGUUAAAAGCGGCAACAAUGUAAUUGCAAACGACGAUUACGCAUACGCAUACGCUGCUUAAUUGCAGUUAUGCCCUUUGGGUUCAAUAAGCAACUCACGUCAAUCUGGGAAAUGUCUGAUAUCUUAGUGCGAUGUCAUCCUAUCAGGCUGGCAGAACCUUUCGCCUUGCGGGGGAAAUGCGAGAACUUACACAAGGCUAACCAUGGACAACCGGUUUGAGGGUGGCGUGCAUGGUGAUUUCAUACUCAAACUAAACCUGUAGACGCUUUGCGUGGAUUGUUCGCGGACGGGGGUUCAACUCCCCCCGCCUCCACCA